UGGAACUUCUUUGGAUGGGUGGAUCAAGCGUGGGUUAUGGUAAUUUGGAGUCAAAAGGAUGUGUGCGUUGGUUCCUUUGUACCGAGGAGAGAACAAAGCCUGUCACUGGGAUGCAGGGCAAUAGAAAGAGGUGCACUGCUUGGAAGAGGAGCGCCAUGGCGACAGCCCCAGGAAGCAAUCCAUUAAAUUGGCUCCCAUUGCUUUGCGUUCAAUGUAAUGGGCAGUGCUGGGGCAGUGACUCACUGGGCCACUGCUGUGGUUUAAAAAUACUUUGAGAACUCAUUUCACAUCAGUAUCCCCAUGAGUCACCACUUCUAACAAAAGGGCUUAGGGAAAACUUGUUGCUUUGGAAGCAGCUCUCAUCUCCAUGUGCAGAGAAGGCAUUUAAGAUAAUGUUCCCGAUCCUUCCCAUGGGCUUUAGGUUGCUUUCUGACGUUCCUUCACUUCACUGGAGACAAGAGGAUGGAUGGCUCCCAACUCAUCCUCUCUCCUAAGACUCCAGAUUUCCACAAGAUUGCUUUGAAAUCACUGGAGGUUGGCAGAGCCUCUCAUGCUGGGAACGUCUGGAAGUGAUUUGCAAUAUGAGCCCGCAGGAGGGCUUAGUGUCCAGUGAGCAUGCAACAUUUGCACCUCGGAUGCUGCAGUGUGCUGCCUUUGGAAGGCCACAGAGAAACAUCUGCUUGAAAAUGGACUCAAGUCAUUAAUUUACCAUUGGGUUUCGAAAUCCUCAGUUGUCAGAUGUUUUUCAAAGCAGCUUAACUGUGACUUGCUCCAGGUGAUGCGCAGUGGCUUUCACCAGCCUGAGAGGUGCUAAGUGUGCUGCACUGAUCCAGCUGUUUUACACUGAAAUUGAGCCCCAGCUUUAGACCUGUGUCAUUUUAACUCAGAAGGUCAGCAAGCCCAGAAGGCCAACUGCAUCUUUUGCUGCAUCAAAAGAGAGGUGGCAGCAGGGUGAAGGAAUAGAUUAUCCCCAUCUGCUCUGUUCAUGUGAGGCCCCACAUGCAGUACUGCGUCCAGACCUGGGCAACCCAGAACAAGAAAAGAUGUGGAGUUUGGAGCAGGUCCAGAUGAGGGUCAAAAGAUGCUCAGAAGGCUGGAGCACUUCUCCUAUGAAGAAAGGCUGAUGGAGGUGGGCUUGUUCAGCCUGGAAAAGAGAAGGCUUCGGGGUGAUCUCAUUGCAGCCUUCCAGGACUUAAAGGGCACUUAUAAGUUGGAGGGGAAGCACCUUUUUACACGGUGAUUUAGGUUAGACAUUAGGCAGAAAUUCUUCACUCAGAGGUUGGAUGGGCCCUGGUCAGCCUGAGCUGGUGGGGGGCAGCCAGCCCAUGGCAGGGGUUGAAACCAGGAUAUCUUUAAGAUCCCUUCCAACCCAAGCCAUUCUAUAAUUUUAACAACUGGUAUUACAGUGUAGAUGUAGCAGCUCAAAUUCAGGAUGUAGAUGAGGCUUCAGGUGAUGUGGCUUCCAAUGUCAAUUACGAUCUGCUGUGGACAUGCUGUUGAAUUUCACAUGGAACAGCUGCGUGGGCCCAGGGUUCUGUCUGGCUUGUUGGGCUGGUUUGUGUGUUCACAUCUUGCAGCCAGGACUGUGGUGAGCCAGCAGGAGCAGCGUGCAGCUUUGCUUCAAAGGUGCGUGGCCACACACCUCCCCAGCACAGCACAGCACGCACCUGUGGUUGACUCUACAACAUGUGACAGCUUGUGGUCCAGCACAGAUAAGCAGCAGCGACUUGUUUAUCUGCAUUCCCAGCUCUGCUAUAGAGCUCCUCAAAGACAAGUCCCAGCUCUGUCCCAGCUUUCCCUAAGGCAAGUGAAUACAAGCAGGCCAGGCACAGCCUACAUGCACUGCAUUUGACUGUGUUCACCAUGAGCCCUGGGGAAUUUAAUGUGAAGCUGAGCCUCCAAAAUUCCAGUGGGAGAAAAAGUAGUUUUGUUCCUUAGCAGAUGCAAUUGCUCAGAGGCACGGAGAGCAGGGCCAGGGCUAAGCUCCCCUUCACACUGCACGCUGCUGGGGAUGGCACCAGCUCCUGGAAGGGACUGGGCUGCCAUUGCAGCAGGGCAAUAAAUACUCUCGUGGCAUUUUUGGAUCACAGCGUUGUUCUGAGCGGAGAUGUUCCUCCUGAUGUAUAUCUUGGCAAGGUCUAAAAAAGGGAGUGGGGAUCCUGUGGAUAGCAGGAAUGCUCAAAGUGACUAAUUAAUGACAAAAACAUUUUUGGCUGGGUGCUAAAACUUGUGGUGCCAGCUCUAAAAUCAUCUCCAACUCUGAAAGAUUAAGAUAGAGUGUGACAGUCCCCCUCUUGCAGGAGGGCUAUCGGACAUCUGCCUUUGAGCGGCUCUUACUCCUUCCUUGAUGCUACUAGGCUGCAUCCUUCACUAUGGGAAUGGGUAGAAGAGCAAACUUGUUCCUUGCCCUGAAGAACAGAGGCUGACUUUCCAGAGGUGCAGGAGUUCUGCUGGCUUUUGUGUACAUCCAGGCAGCGAUGGGUAGCACGGAGCUCCACCAGCACAGCUGAGACCUGAGCACCUGGCUCCCUGAACACUGGAAGAGGUAUGUAAUCCUCAUGUCUCUCGUGGUGAUUUGCACUUCUCCAUAAUUAAAUUUGGCCUUAGGUCAGCAAUAAGUAGAAAUUUAUCAUAGGAAAUCAGAGUUCAAAGGCAUGGAAGUCAAAUUCCUGCCUUGCCUGCUCCAUGUGCAUGCAAACACACCCCUCUGUAGCCAUGCACACAAUGGUUAUCCCAGGAGCUUUCCAAGCACACUCGGACCUUGUCACAAGCAGCACUACUUGUACCAAACAGACUCUAUUAUUAUCGUUUGUUCGUAUAUUAGCACACUGCCUAAGGGCAGAUCCCAUUCAAUAGAAUCUGCCUCUUCUGCUGCACAAAAAGAAUAGUCCUCAAGUAGGUUUUGAUUUUACCCAGAUGUUUGCAGAAUAGCACAGUUCGCUGAGUGAUCUCACCAAAGAGAUGGAGCAUCGAGGGCUGACUGGGGAAAAACUGAGAGGCGAGGGAAGCAGAUGCUGCAUUUCUAUGCUGACUGUUCAAGCAAUAGCUGAGUACGUCCUGUAUGUGCCUGCCACAGGGCAAGCAGGCAACAGGCACAGUGAGUCCUUUUGGAAGUCAUGGAAUCACACAAUCAUAAAGGUUCCAAAAGACCUCCAAGAUCAUGAAGCCCAACAGUCAACCCACCACCACCACUCCCAGUAAAUGUGUCCCUAAGUGCCACGUCUACAUGAUGUGUAGGUUCAAACAGAAAGGGCCAACCAAGCUGAGGGAAAAGAACUGAGUUACUCACUGGAUCUCAAACCUGGGUGCAGAUCUGUGUUCUGACAGCUUGGUUUUGAGGAUCCCAGCCUUUUAUCUGUACCAGAUGUCUCUAUGCCUUUGGUUUGUGGUCAUACUGUGUGUUGUCCCUAUUUUUCAGUGGUCUUGGUGCAUAAGGCAAUGUGUACAUCUGGGAGCCCAGAUCUACUGUUAACUAUCAGUUCCUGCGAAGCACCAAAGAAGGUCCCAGACUGCCUGUUCUACUCAUCAGAUGCUGCAGGGUGGGAGUGUUCCCUAUCUCACUUGGGCUCACUGGCCUGCAAGAGAGCCAGCAGCAUGGCCCUGUUCCUGGCACCAUCCCGUCCUGUUCCCUGCUGUCCUGCUCCAUACCCGCUCCCACGCUAAUGCAGAGCCAGCACCGAGUGAAUCAACCUAAUUAAAGCAGAGAACAGGAGGAGAUGUGAUGGAGAACUAUUAUUUCACAUUUAAUUGAAAAAAUCCAUUUCUGCAUGGGUCCGAUGUGUUCCCUUUUGCUGGUUUCCCAAGAACAACUACAGGCAUUUCUAUUAUUACACACUCUAUGCAGUUAGGGAACGUGCAUCAUCUGGCUGAAACCAAAGCCCUCCUCCAGCCAGCAAUGGGCUCCGCGCUGUUCUGUGCUCAGGUGGCUCAGAAGGAUGCCUGUGGUUCAAACUGCUUGGUGCAGUAAGCUGGAAACAUUCAGAGAGUGAGAAGUUUCACGUGGAGAAAACAAAUCCCAGUUUGUUUAUUGAGCCUAAGAGCUUUCAUUCGAGGCACAAGGAGUUUGACAAACUUCAGCUGAACAAAUGGAACGUUUCUGAGUUGACCAUAUGUGUGUUUCCCAGGAUGUGGAUUCUGGAAACAGAAAUAACCAUCAGCCAUAAAGCAGCCUAAAGCCAGAGUGCCAAAAUCUCAGCUGCUGUAAUCACUGUUUCCAGCUCAGGAUCUGGUGUAGCUUCCUUCUCCUGGUGUUGGCCUCUCAGGUUGGCUAAUAGACACACACAUGUAGACGUAUACAAAUGUUCUUAGGUGGAUGAGUUUCAGAGAGGUUGCAGAGGGGAUGGCCUCACAUUGUGCCAGGGGAGGUUCAGGUUGGCUGUUAGGAACAAUUCCUUCUCCCAGGGAGCAGUUUGGCAUACACAGUUUAGUCACUGAGGGUGUUUUUGUUUGAGGUGCACUCAUUUGUUUAUUUCUCUCAUUCAGUUGAUGCUGCUGUAGCCAAGAUCCCUUCAUCAAUCCUGUUAAGCUGAUGAGUAACACGGUACGGCUUCUGACGGCGGUGAGCUUUAAAAUAAAUCAAGUCAAAAAGUG